AUGGAAGGCAUACUUGAGCUGGUUACCCACAGUUGCCUACGGCAAGUCAGAAUAGCCCCAACAGCCCUCUCACCAGUCACUCCCUGCUGUGCUUUGUUCCUGAACACGCAUAGCCUGCCAUGGACUGAGGUUUCCACUCAGAGCCUGGCCACUGGAACUGGAGUUGGUGUCGAUGUGCUUGGUCUCCCAGCGUGUGGUGGUCUGAAUACAGUAUGCAUUUUUUCGUCAACUUUCGAAGACCCUGUGUGCUAAGUCCAGAAGAGAUGGGACAGCCAUCCUUAGCGAAAAUUCCGAGCCGAAGCUAUACAUCUUUUUGCAGUACCACUGUCAGGUAAACUGAUGAGUGUCUCCUUACUGAUGAAUGACAUUAAAUUUGCUUUGUGCAGCUGCUGCAUUGUAGCGGUGAUACAGUGGGUACAUUCUGUAAUCAUGUAACUGCUAUGACUCUAGGUGUAGUGAUUAUUCAUUUUUAGGAAACUGACAACAAAAGAAAACAUGGCUAGUGAAUAGCUUGGUUCAUAAUGAUAUUCCUAUAUACUACAUUUAAUCUAUUUUAAAAUAAGUUUUAUUGAAAGUUAAAAUAACAUAGGGUGAUUUCCACUGUAAUUGGAUCGAUGGGAGAGUGGGGGUUGAUGGAGCCAGGGAUGGAAUUAAAGUGAUUAAUCUGAAAGCAGAAUCCUUUUAUAUGUCUGGUUAAUGGCACUGUUCAGAACUAUAGGAACAAUGUUGAAUAUUGAAUUAUAUAAUUUGAUGGUUGGGGAAUGAUUUUAAACGUACUAACAAGUCCUCUUAAGCCUUAUCUGGGAGCUCACAUCUCAGCAGUCUGUAGAAAGCUGGGUGUUUCUGUGAUUGACAUGCAAAUUAUCUGUUUGGGAAAUAUUUUAAGCAUCAACAACCUCUCCCUUCCUGCUAGUCCAAGCUGGAGGCUUUCUGGUGUGAUCAUUCAAGUUGAACAAACUGAAUUCCUGUUCUAAUCCCGGCUUUGAGGGGAUAAUGUAGGCUGGAUCUGUGUCUGCCUUGAAAUGGAAAAGAUAUUCAGGGAGAAAGAGUUGUUACACUGUGUUUUUAAUUCGCUAAGGAGCUGUCUGGAUGUUUGCCAUUUCAGGACGAGAAAGGUCCCAUAGUUCUGUUGGAGAAAAAAGUGGGAGUUGAGUGAUUGGCCACGUUCCCUUCAAGUCGCUGUUUCACGUGUCACUACAGGUGAGGAAGUCCGUCUGGUGAUUCCCUACCCUCCCAGGGUGCUGGGGGCAGG
rnacentral:lncRNA from 1 species